rnacentral:lncRNA from 1 species
UUAGCCGGGCGUGGUGGCGGGCGCCUGAAGUCCCAGCUACUCCGGAGGCUGAGGCAGGAAAAUGGCCUGAACCUGGGAGGCGGAGCUUGCAGUGAGCUGAGAUUGCGCCGCUGCACUCCAGCCUAGGCGACAGAGCGAGACUCAGAUCUAAAAAAAAAAAAAGGAACUAAGAAAAGCAUGUGCGUAGACCUGGACAGACGAAAGAGCAGACACUAGGAAACGGCCACGUUACUUCUGUUGGGGAUAUUCGGGGUGGAGAAGAGCCACUGUGGGUGAGAGGAAGGGAUGAAGCAAGGGAACCGAAGGCCCAUGGGACGUGACCAACUCAGCAUUCCACUGGAGGCUGUAUGAUCAAACAGCAAUCUGUUUAUCAUGAAUGCAGGAUUUGAGCAAACUCAUGACUGCUCCUGCCAACAGAAGGUUUGCUGGAGGCAAUCACUGCCUGGCGCCGAGGAUAUCUACUGCGACAUCUAGAGAAUACAGUCUUGCAAGCCUACUCUGGACUGAGCAGCUGACCCCUUCUUUCACCACCCCCACCUUCUCACUGUCUCUUUUGCCUAAUAAAUACGGAGGGCUGUGUAAAGCUCAGAGCCCUUGUCCACUAGAGGAAGGUGCCCCCGACCUCUUCUUCCAAAUAUACUCUUUUGUCUCUUGUCUUUAUUCACGUGUUCACCCCGCUUUGUUCAGUCCAACAGGUUCGCGGCAUAGUGGCACCCCAAACAGCGACAGGAUCGGGUGUUCUACAAAUAUUCACCAAAAUUCAUGCAUAAAAAUCUUCACUGACUUAAUUAUAAUAUUAAAAACAACAGAAACAUGACGCUGCACUAAAGAAGGCAGACAAAUGAUUUUAUGCCAUAGGAUUCCAUUUCUAUACAUUUUAAACAGAUAAAACUAAGUUGUGCUUUUGAGGUAGCAUAGUGAUUAUUUUGGAAGAGGUAUUGAUGGGAAGGAAUGUUUCUGGGAGGUAGAUGAUUUUUUAUUCCUUGAUUUGAAUUUUGGGUACACAAAUGUGUUCAGUGUAUAAAAUCCAUUGAACUUUAUAUUUAUGGUUUGUGUACUUUCCUUUGUUAUGUAAAUCUUCACUAUAAUUUCAAUUAAUCAAAAUAUCGCUAACAUGAAA